GACGAACGCUGGCGGCGUGCUUAACACAUGCAAGUCGAACGGAAAGGCCCUGCUUUUGUGGGGUGCUCGAGUGGCGAACGGGUGAGUAACACGUGAGUAACCUGCCCUUGACUUUGGGAUAACUUCAGGAAACUGGGGCUAAUACCGGAUAGGAGCUCCUGCUGCAUGGUGGGGGUUGGAAAGUUUCGGCGGUUGGGGAUGGACUCGCGGCUUAUCAGCUUGUUGGUGGGGUAGUGGCUUACCAAGGCUUUGACGGGUAGCCGGCCUGAGGGGGUGACCGGCAAAAUGGGGACGGAGACGCGGCCCGACCGCUUGGGGGGGGGAGAGGGGGGAAACUUGAAAAAGGGGCGGGAGGCCUGGCGAAGAAACGCGGGGUGCGGGUAGACGCCCUUGGGGUGGGAACCGGCUUUGGCCUGGAGGAAAGGGGGAGGGCGGGGAAUGGGAAAAGAAACCCCGGGAACGUUUGU
rnacentral:rRNA from 1 species